CAACAUAUUUAAUUAAUUUCAUAGUAUAAGAAAAUGUUCAGUUGGGUUUAUAUUUGAACCGCCUUUUACAAAAAGCAAUACCAUAGAUAUGCAUAUAUAUAAAACCGGGGUUGCUUACAAAUUAGAUAACACAAUCGUGUUUUAAAUAAUUUGAAAUUUUGUGUUAUAAUUAUGUUUUAAAUAAGAAUAUGAGGAUAUAAAUAUUUUAGAUGUUAGUGUCUAUGUAUUCAUUCAUCUCUAACGACAAUGAAAAAUAGUGAAUAUCUAUAUAUUGUUCGGAAAUCACUGUUUAUAAUAAAAACUAUAGAUUCGUUGGAAUCAGCCAAUCAGAUCAUCUAGGGC
rnacentral:lncRNA from 1 species